UAACAUUUCUUCUGAAAACUACUUUACAGAAUGCUGGAGCAGUGAUUGGAAAAGGUGGCAAAAAUAUUAAGGCACUUCGUACAGAUUACAAUGCAAGUGUUUCAGUCCCAGACAGCAGUGGCCCCGAGCGCAUCUUGAGUAUAAAUGCAGAUACAGAGACAAUUGGAGAAA